AGUUUCCGGGACUUCGUACUG
rnacentral:miRNA from 1 species